rnacentral:rRNA from 1 species
UACGGGGGGAGCAAGCGUUGUUCGGAUUUACUGGGCGUAAAGGGCGCGUAGGCGGCCUCCGCAAGUCAGUUGUGAAAUCUCCGAGCUUAACUCGGAAAGGUCAACUGAUACUGCGGGGCUAGAGUGCGGAAGGGGCAACUGGAAUUCUUGGUGUAGCGGUGAAAUGCGCAGACAUCAGGAGGAACACCAAUUGCGAAGGCAGCUCGCUGGGACGUUACUGACGCUGAGACGCGAAAGCGUGGGGAGCAAACAGG